CCUUACAGUCACCCAGUACCUCUGCUUCUUAUACUCUUUCCUUCUUCAAUGACCUCUAAACCUUUGGAGAGGCACGUGGUAGGUGGUUCUGUUCUCCCUCUUGAGCCUGUGCACACAACUGGAUUCUGGUGGAGGACCCUCUGGAUAUGGGCUCAGGGACCAGAGGAGGAUGUCAGAUCCCCUGGAACCAGAGUUGAAGGCCACCAUGGGGUGCUGGGAAUCAAAACCAGGAUCCAAGAAACAGCUUCCUAUGUGGAGAAGUCUCUGCAGCGGCCACCAGCAUGUGAACAAAAGUCUUGGGGGCUGAGAUAAGAUGACAUAUUUGAUUUACUAUCAAGUGGGGGGAAAUUGGAGAUAAGAGAAAGAUGAUAGUAAUCGUGCUUUAUGUAUUCUGUGUUUGCAAUUGGAUUAAUAACAGGCAGGAAAGGGACAGGGCUGUGUGUGAAAAGUGAAACGAUGAAGCGAGGGAGAUGAUCAGUUUUAUU
rnacentral:lncRNA from 1 species